CCCCACAGUGCAUUCAAACUGGAUCUUGUUAUGAAAUUUCAAAAGUUCACAACAUUAUGCGUGUUGGAGGGAAAAGAAAUUGAAAGAAACUUUUAUAUGGCAGGUAUAGGUCCAAGCAUAUGAGUUCAUACAGAGGUUAGCUGCUGAAUUUAAGUAAUAUUUGUACUUGCGGCGCGGUCAUUUCACUUCUUUAGCAUGUAUACUUUCUCCUUUUUUAUGGACAUCUCUUUAGCUUACGUACAUGUUUCUUUUAUAAUAAGGAAAAAAACUCAAUCCACGGAGAGUAAGACAACCCCGGGCAUUGUAUUUCAGAAGAAGACAUUCUCACAC
rnacentral:lncRNA from 1 species